rnacentral:lncRNA from 1 species
UUGGCUCCUUACCUUUGGGUGGGAACACUUGUGAGUUGGUUUGAGAUCACCAAGCAUGCUUGAAUUGUAUAUUAUUGCUUUUAUUAUUUUGUUUACUAACCAAAAGCAUAAAAAUAUGUCACUAACAUCUUUUGUUUGUAGCUUGAGCAGUCACAAGAUCCAAUGCUCAUAGAAGCCCCUAUGCUCAUUGAUAUGGCUAGGUGAAGAUGAAAGCAAGCAUGACAAUUGUUCCCAAGGCUCUCAUCCAUCAAAUAUGCCUCCCAAGU